rnacentral:lncRNA from 10 species
GAGAGACCCCGGGCCAAAGGGAUGCAGAUAAGCCACACUUGGAUUCCUGACUCACCGUGAGACAACGUUUUGUUGUUUUAAGCCACUAAGUUUUGGGGUCAUUUGUUCCAUAGCAGCUGAUAACUAAUACACUUGAUAAGAGUUAGUAAAAAUAUAAACCCUGUGUAGCCAGUCAGAAGCUUGAGAAUUACAAAAAGAUCACUGCAUUUUCUCCUUAGACAUGUCAAGUCUCACUCACCUCCUUCAGAUCUUUAACCAGAAUUCAUCUUCUCAUCAAGGGCUUUCUUGGCCACCCAUUAUGAAAUGGCAAACCAUUUGACAGUUUCUUUCUUCAGUUUAACGUUUGUUAAGCAUACACUUAUGAUUGGACCCAGGAAUCUCAAUUCCAGAUAUUUACUGAAGAGAAAUAUAAACGUAUUUUUUACACACUCCUGAGCCUUCCAAGUAGCUGAGACCACAGGAUGUUCACCACCACACCCUCCACACUCUCCUGCUUUAUUUUUCUCUUUAACACUUGCCACCA